rnacentral:rRNA from 1 species
UACGUAGGGGGGCAAGCGUUGUCCGGAUUCAUUGGGCGUAAAGAGCGUGUAGGCGGCCAGGUAGGUCGGUUGUGAAAACUGGAGGCUCAACCUUCAGAGGUCGACCGAAACCAUCUGGCUAGAGUCCGGGAGAGGAGAGUGGAAUUCCUGGUGUAGCGGUGAAAUGCGCAGAUAUCAGGAGGAACACCCAUGGCGGAAAGGCAGCUCACUGGGACG